rnacentral:rRNA from 1 species
AAACCAACAGGGAUUGCCUCAGUAACGGCGAGUGAAGCGGCAACAGCUCAAAUUUGAAAUCUGGCCCCAGGCCCGAGUUGUAAUUUGCAGAGGAUGCUUUUGGCGCGGUGCCUUCCGAGUUCCCUGGAACGGGACGCCAUAGAGGGUGAGAGCCCCGUCUGGUUGGACACCAAGCCUCUGUAAAGCUCCUUCGACGAGUCGAGUAGUUUGGGAAUGCUGCUCAAAAUGGGAGGUAUAUGUCUUCUAAAGCUAAAUACCGGCCAGAGACCGAUAGCGCACAAGUAGAGUGAUCGAAAGAUGAAAAGCACUUUGAAAAGAGAGUUAAAUAGCACGUGAAAUUGUUAAAAGGGAAGCGUUUAUGACCAGACUUGGGCCGGUUAAUCAUCCAGCGUUCUCGCUGGUGCACUUUGCCGGUCCAGGCCAGCAUCAGUUCGUCGCGGGGGAUAAAGGCGUCGGGAAUGUGGCUCCUCGGAGUGUUAUAGCCCUUCGCGCAAUACCCUGCGGUGGACUGAGGUUCGCGCUCUGCAAGGAUGCUGGCGUAAUGGUCAUCAACGAC